rnacentral:rRNA from 1 species
AAUCAACGCUGGCGGCGUGCCUCAGACAUGCAAGUCGAACGAUUAAAGCUCUCUUCGGAGAGUGUAUAGAGUGGCGCACGGGUGAGUAACACGUAAGUAAUCUACCUUUGAGUGGGGAAUAACGUCCGGAAACGGACGCUAAUACCGCAUAAUGCAGCGGCAUCGCAAGAUGACAGUUGUUAAAGAUUUAUCGCUUGAAGAGGAGCUUGCGGCAGAUUAGCUAGUUGGUAAGGUAAUGGCUUACCAAGGCUACGAUCUGUAACCGGUCUAAGAGGACGGUCGGUCACACUGACACUGAAUAACGGGUCAGACUCCUACGGGAGGCAGCAGUCGGGAAUUUUGGGCAAUGGGCGAAAGCCUGACCCAGCAACGCCGCGUGAAGGAUGAAGUAUUUCGGUAUGUAAACUUCGAAAGAAUGGGAAGAAUCAAUGACGGUACCAUUUAUAAGGUCCGGCUAACUACGUGCCAGCCGCCGCAGU